GCUCAGCGGCUUUGAAAAAUGUAGAGCUCUCAAGGCAAGGAAAGGGUUUGAUGCAAUUUAAAAAAGACAGACUCCCACACCUCUCAGAGCCAUAUGUUUCCAUUCAGAUCGCGUUACCCUCGAGGUGGGUGCUACUGCGGGCUGUGCAGCCAAGCCCGGCUGUUCUGCUGAUGCUCCCAGGACCCCCGGCUCACCGAGGAGGCAGACGGGCUGAGCAAGUGCACACGGGUGGGUACGAGGUGCCAGUGGCAGCCUCUUGGCCAAGCUGAGGCUGCAAAGCGGUGACAUACGCCAUUUGGUGUGCCCAGCGCCAGCGCAGAAUCAGGUUGUCGCUAUCUGGGGGGAAGGACUGAAAGUGAAUGAAGCCAUUCUGUCGACCUACAGAAUGGGAGGAAGUAUGCGGGAAGAUGCUACAGAGGAAAUGGCUGCUGAGCUGGGUUUAUAGAAGAGGGAAGCUUUCUCAGAUGCCAGAGGGUAAGGGCAUCUCCAGCAGAGACAACAGAAUACACAAAAGUCUGUUGGCCCCAAGGUGCAAUUGGAGAUUCAACCAAAGGUGCACUCAUAUCCAACACGAUUCCCCUUCUGCUCAGAGAGUCAGCAGCCAGGAAGUGCCAAGAUCUCCCCGAGUGAACUUGGCCCCAUCCUGCCCCCUCCCUGGACCUUGGCUUCUCAUCUCUAAAUGGACCAGAGAAACUCGUGAUCGUACGAAUCUCUAAUCUAGGAUACUGGGAGAAGGGCGGGCUGACAAAAGACCUGGUCCUGUGAUUUAUAAGUGUUGUCUUCCAGUUAGGAUAAUUUAUAUUGUGAGUUAUAGAAAAUCUACUCCAAUUAGCUUAAAAAUAAAGGCUCUGAGUUUGUGUCAAAGAAAAGUCAGCAGCUUACGGCUAGCAGGUGAAGCUUGAUCCAGCAGCUCAAUAACACCAUUAUUUUCUGUCUCUCCUUCUGUCUCCCAUGGUGUCAGCCUCAUUCUAAGUCUGUUUCUUUUCAUGGUUCUUUGCACUGCUCACGGCCCCACACUUUCUUGUCCUUGCCCAGCAGGGACCAAAGGGAGGGUCUUAUCUCAGCACUGUCCCCAAAACCUUGAGAUGCACUAUGGUUGGUCAGCCUAGUUCUCAAGUCCACUGCUGAUCUAACCUCUGUGGUCAGAGGGAGGAGA